CGGGAAGCCAGGCGGCGACGCCGAGCGGACCCGAAAGCCGUUCUCAGUUCGGAUCGGAGUCUGCAACCCGACUCCGUGAAGCUGGAUUCGCUAGUAAUCGCGCAUCAGCCAUGGCGCGGUGAAUACGUUCCCGGGCCUUGUACACACCGCCCGUCAAGCCAUGGGAGCCGGGGGUGCUUGAAGUGCGUCGCCGCGAGGCGCGCCCUAGAGCAAAACCGGUGACUGGGGCUAAGUCGUAACAAGGUACC
rnacentral:rRNA from 1 species